GAACCAGCGGAGGGAUCAUUACCGAGUUUACAACUCCCAAACCCCUGUGAACAUACCUAUACGUUGCCUCGGCGGAUCAGCCCGCGCCCCGUAAAACGGGACGGCCCGCCCGAGGACCCCUAAACUCUGUUUUUAGUGGAACUUCUGAGUAAAACAAACAAAUAAAUCAAAACUUUCAACAACGGAUCUCUUGGUUCUGGCAUCGAUGAAGAACGCAGCAAAAUGCGAUAAGUAAUGUGAAUUGCAGAAUUCAGUGAAUCAUCGAAUCUUUGAACGCACAUUGCGCCCGCCAGUAUUCUGGCGGGCAUGCCUGUUCGAGCGUCAUUUCAACCCUCAAGCUCAGCUUGGUGUUGGGACUCGCGGUAACCCGCGUUCCCCAAAUCGAUUGGCGGUCACGUCGAGCUUCCAUAGCGUAGUAAUCAUACACCUCGUUACUGGUAAUCGUCGCGGCCACGCCGUUAAACCCCAACUUCUGAAUGUUGACCUCGGAUCAGGUAGGAAUACCCGCUGAACUUAAGCAUAUCAAUAAGCGGAGG
rnacentral:rRNA from 1 species